rnacentral:rRNA from 1 species
UACGUAGGGGGCAAGCGUUGUCCGGAUUUAUUGGGCGUAAAGAGCGUGUAGGCGGCUUGUUAAGUCUUGCGUGAAAUCUCGGGGCUCAACCCCGAGCGGUCGUGAGAAACUGGCAGGCUAGAGUGCGGGAGAGGAGAGUGGAAUUCCUGGUGUAGCGGUGAAAUGCGCAGAUAUCAGGAAGAACACCCGUGGCGAAGGCGGCCCACUGGGCCGGUGCUGACGCUGAGGCGCGAAGGCGUGGGGAGCGAACGGG